GAUGAACGCUGGCGGCGUGCUUAACACAUGCAAGUCGAACGAUGAAGCCCAGCUUGCUGGGUGGAUUAGUGGCGAACGGGUGAGUAACACGUGAGUAACCUGCCCUUAACUCUGGGAUAAGCCUGGGAAACUGGGUCUAAUACCGGAUAGGAGCGUCCACCGCAUGGUGGGUGUUGGAAAGAUUUAUCGGUUUUGGAUGGACUCGCGGCCUAUCAGCUUGUUGGUGAGGUAAUGGCUCACCAAGGCGACGACGGGUAGCCGGCCUGAGAGGGUGACCGGCCACACUGGGACUGAGACACGGCCCAGACUCCUACGGGAGGCAGCAGUGGGGAAUAUUGCACAAUGGGCGCAAGCCUGAUGCAGCGACGCCGCGUGAGGGAUGACGGCCUUCGGGUUGUAAACCUCUUUCAGUAGGGAAGAAGCGAAAGUGACGGUACCUGCAGAAGAAGCACCGGCUAACUACGUA
rnacentral:rRNA from 1 species